rnacentral:rRNA from 1 species
AGAGUUUGAUCCUGGCUCAGGACGAACGCUGGCGGCGUGCUUAACACAUGCAAGUCGAACGAGACGAUUGAAAGCUUGCUUUUGAAAGUCGAGUGGCAAACGGGUGAGUAACGCGUAGACAACCUGCCGUAAAGAUGGGGACAACAGUCCGAAAGGAUUGCUAAUACCGAAUGUUGUGGAACUUCCGCAUGGGAGCUCCACUAAAGAUGGCCUCUACUUGUAAGCUAUCGCUUUACGAUGGGUCUGCGUCUGAUUAGCUAGUUGGUGGGGUAACGGCUUACCAAGGCGACGAUCAGUAGCCGGUCUGAGAGGAUGAACGGCACAUUGGAACUGANANCCGGUCCANACUCCUACGGGAGGCAGCANNGGGNAAUCUUCCNCANGGGCGCAAGCUGANNGAACA